rnacentral:rRNA from 1 species
UACGAGGGGGCGAGCGUGUUCGGAAUUAUUGGGCGUAAAGGGUGCGUAGGCGGUUUGGUAAGUCUUAUGUGAAAUCUACAGGCUCAACUUGUAGUCUGCAUGAGAAACUGCCGGGCUUGAGUAUGGGAGAGGUGAGUGGAAUUCCUGGUGUAGCGGUGAAAUGCGUAGAUAUCAGGAGGAACACCUGUGGCGAAAAGCGGCUCACUGGACCAUAACUGACGCUGAUGCACGAAAAGCUAGGGGGAGCAAAACAGG